UAUAUUCUCCCACAAAUAUUAAAACCGUAAAAGAGGGGCCGUAGAACUCACAUUCGAAACGUGAUCCCGAUCCUGGUUCUUUUGGUGAAGCUCUUCGUUAAUAACCGCAAAGUAACCGUUCUCGGACUUUUAAACGUUUCAGGGUUUAUUUGGUAAUGUUUUAAACUAAAGGGGCUCGUUUUCAAAUAGUUUAUAUUUGAAUGAAAAGGCUGUUUAGCAAUUUAUUUUACACAAGGGACUAAUUUGUAAUGAAUUAUAUCCAAAAGGGCUGUUUUUAAAAUGUUUAAAUCAUUUGGGACCUGCUUUGAAAAGAUUUAUGUCAAGGGCUGAUUUCCUGAUUUAAAGUUAUAAUUGAAGGGACUGUUUCUGUCCACCUGAUACAACAUUUGGGGUACAAGGGAUUUGACGCCUCAUCUUCUUCAUUUGUUCGUCAAAUCGAGUAUAGGAACAGAGGGAGCGACGAACAAACGGAACCACGAGAAGGGUCCAAUCUCCGGCGAUGGCUAAUAGGUGGGGAGGAGGAAUCGAUCUCCGGAGAGCCUCAUUUGGAUUGCUUUAAUCUCCGCCGGCAGUGAGCCAAGAAAACGGCAGCAAGGUCGACGGGAGAGGCUGUAGUCGACAGCAAUGGUGGCGAGAGGCGGCUCCGGCUGUUACUCGUCGCCUUUUCUCUUCUGAUUUUGGCAGGUAACACAAAGGGAAGAUGGAGGUGUGGAUCGGAACUGGAACAACAUUUGGUGGGGGUUUGUUUUAAGUUGUUUGAUCGACAGGAAGAACGAGUGAGGAAGGGUGUGGGUUUCUCCGGCGACGAAUUGUAGCAGCGAUCAGUCUCCGGCGAGUCCUCGUGCUCCUUUCUUGUCGCCGACCGCAGAAGUCAACGGAACAACAACAUCAACCGUCAAUGGUGGAGUGGUGUUUGGUGAUUAGCUUGCUGCCGAUCGGAAACCAUUAACCGGGGUGUUUAGGUGGUGCUAGACGACGAUGGAAGACAGAGAAGGAGGAGGAGGGCGCCAUGGCCGGCAGCUUCACAGAGAAGGAGGCAACAUCGAAUGGGAAAGAUUGAGUGUGGGGAUGUGGUGGUGGCGGCAGCCACCUGUGUCAUCGAAUACACGAGAGAGAGGGAAGGUUUGAGAUUUUUAGUGGUGAAGAAGGCAUAAAAAUGAUUGAAGGCAGCUCAUCAAUGAUCUAUUUACAGAUUUUUGAUUGAUCUUUGGAAGAUUUUUGUGGUACUAUCGUGAUUGUAGAAGAUUUAUAGUACAAUGCCUAAUUCAUUCAAGAUUUGGUACAUGUGCAAGUUUUUGAUGUUCAUUUGUUUAAGUAUGUUUGUGAGAAGAGUGAUGAUUGAGAAUGAGAGGAAAAGAAUUUAGAAGCUGGACAUUUUUAUGUACAAAUAUAUAUUUUGUUACACCUUUAAUGCACUCUCUCCUUUUCUAA